AUUCUUCUUCUUUUUUUUCAAUUGUUAAGUACAUAUGAGGGGGGAUAAACGAAGUGGAUAUCGCGCCAGUGUAAUAUAUGUGGUUUUUGUAUAGAAAUUUGUGGGUAUAUACGUUUUCGACCACCUGGUUCUAUAGAAAUUUUUGGGUUUUGGUUUAGCCAGAGGGGUGGUGACUAAACAAACCCCCCCCCCCCCCACCCCCCCCACCCCACCCCGUAUGGUUCCGCCUACGCUCCCUUGCUUCUAGUUCCUGCUACUUAGAUGUUUGUUUCGACCAACGUUUUCCCCCCUAUUACAAUCUUCCCAGGCUCUACCAAUAGCAUUGGAGCACGAGUCCUAGUGCUGGAACUGAAACUGGUUUUCUUGAUUCUCAUUCUCUAAACCGUAGAGUUGCACUUCCAGAGCAGAGCAUACUUCUCUCGAUCCGUGUAUUCUCUUAUUCUGGUGUCGCUUUGGUUGGAAGGAAAUUACCAUGAUGCAGAAUGGGUGGGUUAUAGAAUCUAGAUAUAGAAAAAAAUAUGAAGAAAAACACUAUAGCACCUAGCUCGGUUCUACAAAGCAAGCGAUGAUCUAGAAAGCGCCUCAGGGACUUGAGCGUCAAAGCUGGUCAACAUCAAGGUUUGUAGGAGGCUUAUAUGUGAAGACAGCCAAAACUGGUCAACAUCAAGGUUUGUAGGAGGCUGAUAUGUAAAAGAGACAGGAGAGAUGUAACUUCUAGUCGUACAAAAAGAGCAAUGACUGGCGUCCAUGAACACCGCCCCACUCUUCUUAAAACCAAGGUGAAAUUGAUCGCUCCCGAAAUUAUAUUUUUGACGGUGGAGGGAUUUGAGAAUAAAGGUUGCCAAAUUUAACCAACUCUUCAACAUCGUGAUGGAUCGCAGUGAUGGGGGCGGAGGCGGAAGCGAUUGACGAGGCCCUUUGCGAGUACCAAACGCUCAAUGGUGGAAGAUUUACGCACAUGUCAGCCUGACAUAUACUAAGAAAGCAUCCUAGUUGGUUUAAAUAUCAAUUAUGUGUUUGUUUAAUAUCAAAUAUGUAUUGGUUUAAAUAUAAUUUUAUUAAAGUGAAAUAUGAUUUUCU
rnacentral:lncRNA from 1 species